GAUGAACGCUAGCGGCAGGCCUAAUACAUGCAAGACGAACGGUAAGUUGAGUAGCAAUACUUAGCCAAGAGUGUCGUACGGGUGCGUAACACGUAUGCAACCUACCCUAUACAGGAGGAUAGCCUAGGGAAACCUGGAUUAACCCUUCAUAGUAUUAUUGGAUGGCAUCAUUUGAUAAUUAAAACUGAGGUGGUAUAGGAUGGGCAUGCGUCUGAUUAGUUAGUUGGCGGGUAAUGGCCCACCAAGACGAUGAUCAGUAGGGGUUCUGAGAGGAAGAUCCCCCACACUGGCACUGAGAUACGGGCCAGACUCCUACGGGAGGCAGCAGUAGGGAAUAUUGGUCAAUGGAUGCAAGUCUGAACCAGCCAUGCCGCGUGCAGGAAGAAGGCCUUCUGGGUUGUAAACUGCUUUUGCCAGGGGAUAAAAUUUCCAUGCGUGGAAAACUGAAGGUACCUGGUGAAUAAGCCACGGCUAACUACGUGCCAGCAG
rnacentral:rRNA from 1 species